GAGCAGAGGUUUCUGUUGCCGGCGGUGCCGAAGAAGCCGCAACCGUUGGCGCAUGGUCUUGGCUCCGAAGGGUUUCAGAGAAAGAGAGAGAGAUAUUUGAAGAGUGGGAAUUACGUGACGGUGGUGCUAAGUUUGGUAGCUUUAUAAUGGCGUAUCCGAAGAAUCUACCCCAGAUUUUCGUGUGGAAUUAAGAUAAAGAUGUUGCUGAUUUGCUUCCUACUCUGCUUUCCUUUUUUAUCUUUUAAAUGUUUUAAUUUAUAUUUUAAUUUUUUGUUAAUAAAAAAAGAUUUUAAUGUCGGGUUCGGUAUUC